rnacentral:tRNA from 1 species
UGAGUGAAAGCCAAUAAGGCGCCUAGCUGUUAAUUAGGAGUCCGUAGAAAUAUCUCUCUACUCAUUCAG